UACGGAGGAUGCGAGCGUUAUCCGGAUUUAUUGGGUUUAAAGGGUGCGUAGGCUGGUAAUUAAGUCAGUGGUGAAAUCCUGCAGCUUAACUGCAGAACUGCCGUUGAUACUGAUAGUCUUGAGUUUGGUUAAGGUAGGCGGAAUGUGUAAUGUAGCGGUGAAAUGCUUAGAUAUUACACAGAACACCAAUUGCGUAGGCAGCUUACUGAGCCGACACUGACGCUGAGGCACGAAAGCGUGGGGAUCAAACAGGAUUA
rnacentral:rRNA from 1 species